rfam:Oryza sativa Japonica Group DNA, chromosome 1, cultivar: Nipponbare, complete sequence.
AAAAAAAACAAACCUUGAUUUCCGUGUCCAACUUUAACUGUCCGUCUUAUAUGAAAUUUUUUUAUAAUACGUAUUUUUAUUGUUGUUAAAUGAUAAAACAUGAUUAAUAUUUUAUGCGUGACUUGUCUUUUUAAUUUUUUUUAUAAUUUUUUCAAAUAAGACGGACGGUCAAACGUUGGGCACGAAAAUCAGGGUUUGUAUUUUUU